rnacentral:tRNA from 2 species
GCCCCCAUAGCUCAGUUGGAUAGAGCGCUGGAUUCCUAAUCCAGGUGCCGCGUGUUCGAAUCGCGCUGGGGGCACCA